rnacentral:rRNA from 1 species
UACAGAGGGUGCGAGCGUUGUCCGGAAUCACUGGGCGUAAAGGGCGCGUAGGUGGCGCUCCAAGUCCGUGGUGAAAGCUCGAUGCUCAACAUCGAGUCGGCCACGGAGACUGGAGGGCUCGAGCACUGUAGGGGCAGAUGGAAUUCCGGGUGUAGCGGUGGAAUGCAUAGAGAUCCGGAAGAACACCGGUGGCGAAGGCGGUCUGCUGGGCAGUAGCUGACACUGAUGCGCGACAGCGUGGGGAGCAAACAGG